rnacentral:rRNA from 1 species
UACAGAGGUCCCAAGCGUUGUUCGGAUUCACUGGGCGUAAAGGGUGCGUAGGCGGUCGGGUAAGUCUGAUGUGAAAUCUCACAGCUUAACUGUGAAACUGCAUUGGAUACUAUCCGGCUAGAGGAAUGGAGGGGAGACUGGAAUACUUGGUGUAGCAGUGAAAUGCGUAGAUAUCAGGAGGAACACCAAUGGCGAAGGCAGCUCGCUGGGACGGUACUGACGCUGAGACGCGAAAGCGUGGGGAGCAAACAGG